rnacentral:rRNA from 1 species
UAGGGAAUCUUCGGCAAUGGACGAAAGUCUGACCGAGCAACGCCGCGUGAGUGAAGAAGGUUUUCGGAUCGUAAAACUCUGUUGUUAGAGAAGAACAAGGACGUUAGUAACUGAACGUCCCCUGACGGUAUCUAACCAGAAAGCCACGGCUAACUACGUGCCAGCAGCCGCGGUAAUACGUAGGUGGCAAGCGUUGUCCGGAUUUAUUGGGCGUAAAGCGAGCGCAGGCGGUUUCUUAAGUCUGAUGUGAAAGCCCCCGGCUCAACCGGGGAGGGUCAUUGGAAACUGGGAGUCUUGAGUGCAGAAGAGGAGAGUGGAAUUCCAGGUGUAGCGGUGAAAUGCGUAGAUAUGUGGAGGAACACCAGUGGCGAAGGCGGCUCUCUGGUCUGUAACUGACGCUGAGGCUCGAAAGCGUGGGGAGCAAACAGG